UUUUUUAUUUUUUUGAGACAGGGUCUUGCUCUGUUACCCAGGCUGGACUGCAGUGGUGUGAUCAUGGCUCACUGCAGCCUCAUCCUCCUGGGCUCAAGCAAUCCUCCUGCCUCAGUCUCCCGAGUAGCUGGGAGCACAGGUGCACACAACCACAUCCAGCUACAUUUUUUUUAUUUAUUUAUUUUUUAGAGAUGAUGUUGGCCAGGCUGGCCUUAAACUCCUGGGUUCAAGUGAUCCUCCCACGUCAGCCUCCCAAAGUGCAGGGAUUACAGAUGAGAGCCACUGCACCUGGCCCAGUGCUCAGUUUUAACUGAGGGAAGAGAGUGACAGUGGGGAGAGGAAGGAGGGUUUGUGGCUUGGGCAACUGACUAGAUGGUGGUGUCAGGCACGGAACGGGGCGCAGGUUGCAGGGAGGCUGAAUUUGAGGUGUGGCUUGCAUGCCUCUGACAGUGCCCAUGUGCUAAUCCCUGGGAUCUGUGAAUAUGUUCCCUUACCUGGCAAAGAAAUUCUGCAGAUGUGUUUAAAUUAAGGAUGUUGAGAUGGGAAGAGGAUCCUGGGUUGUCCAGGUGGCCCAACGUAGUCACAAGAGUUUUUGUAAGAGGGAGGCAGGAGAAUCAGAGAGAUGGGAAGAUGCUCGUCUGUGGGCCUGAAGAUGGAGGGGGGGCCAUGAGUUAAAGAAUGCAGGCGGCCUCUAGAAGAUGCAAAAGGCAAGACACGGAUUCUCUUCUAGGUCUUCCAGGAGGAACCAGCUUGCUGACACACCUGAUUUGUAGACCAGGGAGAGCCAUUUUGGACCUCUGACCUCCAGAACCGGGAAAAAGGAGUCAGAGAGCAAGAGACGGCUGUUACCUCCAGCUUUCAAACCCAGUCUAAUCAUGAAGCCUCAUAAAAGAAGAAACAGAGAAGAGGCAGCACGAAGACGUGGCCAGGAAGGGCAGGGAGACAAGG